rnacentral:rRNA from 1 species
CCUACGGGGAGGCAGCAGUGAGGAAUAUUGGUCAAUGGCCGGAAGGCUGAACCAGCCCUGCCGCGUGAAGGUCAGUGCCCUCUGGGCGUUAAACUUCUUUUGCGCGGGAGCAAUAAUGGUCACGUGUGGCCAGACGAGAGUACCGUACGAAAAAGCAUCGGCUAACCCCGUGCCAGCAGCCGCGGUAAUAUGGUGGAUGCGAGCGUUAUACGGAUUUAUUGGGUUAAAAGUGUGCGCAGGGGGAAGAUCAAGUCAGCGGUAAAAUUGAGAGGCUAAACCUCUUCGAGCCGUUGAAACUGGUUAUCUUGAGUGAGCGAGAGGUAAGCGGAAGGCGUGGUGUAGCGGUGAAAUGCAUAGAUAUCACGAGGAACACCGGUUGCGAAGGCAGCAUACCGGCGCUCAACUGACGCUGAUGCACGAAAGUGUGGGUAUCGAACAGGAUUAGAUACCCUGGUAGUC